AAGCCUACGGGAGGCAGCAGUGAGGAAUAUUGGUCAAUGGCCGGGAGGCUGAACCAGCCAAGUCGCGUGAGGGAAGACGGCCCUACGGGUUGUAAACCUCUUUUGUCAGGGAGCAAGGUGCAGGUCGGGACCUGCUGUGAGAGUACCUGAAGAAAAAGCAUCGGCUAACUCCGUGCCAGCAGCCGCGGUAAUACGGAGGAUGCGCGCGUUAUCAGGAUUUAUUGGGUUUAAAGGGCGCGCAGGCGGAGGCACAAGUCAGAGGUAAAAUCGCGGGGCUCAACACC
rnacentral:rRNA from 1 species